rnacentral:rRNA from 1 species
UACGUAGGGGCCUAGCGUUGUCCGGAUUUAUUGGGCGUAAAGAGCUCGUAGGCGGUUCGGUAAGUCAGGUGUGAAAUCUCCACGCUCAACGUGGAGGCGCCACCUGAAACUGCCGUGACUCGAGUCCGGUAGGGGAGUGUGGAAUUCCCGGUGUGAGCGGUGAAAUGCGCAGAUAUCGGGAGGAACACCAGUGGCGAAGGCGGCACUCUGGGCCGGUACUGGACGCUGAGGAGCGAAAGCGUGGGGAGCGAACAGG